rnacentral:rRNA from 1 species
AAAUUGAAGAGUUUGAUCAUGGCUCAGAUUGAACGCUGGCGGCAGGCCUAACACAUGCAAGUCGAACGGUAACAGGAAGCAGCUUGCUGCUUCGCUGACGAGUGGCGGACGGGUGAGUAAUGUCUGGGAAACUGCCUGAUGGAGGGGGAUAACUACUGGAAACGGUGGCUAAUACCGCAUAACGUCGCAAGACCAAAGAGGGGGACCUUCGGGCCUCUUGCCAUCAGAUGUGCCCAGAUGGGAUUAGCUUGUUGGUGAGGUAACGGCUCACCAAGGCGACGAUCCCUAGCUGGUCUGAGAGGAUGACCAGCCACACUGGAACUGAGACACGGUCCAGACUCCUACGGGAGGCAGCAGUGGGGAAUAUUGCACAAUGGGCGCAAGCCUGAUGCAGCCAUGCCGCGUGUAUGAAGAAGGCCUUCGGGUUGUAAAGUACUUUCAGCGGGGAGGAAGGUGUUGCGGUUAAUAACCGCAGCAAUUGACGUUACCCGCAGAAGAAGCACCGGCUAACUCCGUGCCAGCAGCCGCGGUAAUACGGAGGGUGCAAGCGUUAAUCGGAAUUACUGGGCGUAAAGCGCACGCAGGCGGUCUGUCAAGUCGGAUGUGAAAUCCCCGGGCUCAACCUGGGAACUGCAUUCGA